ACUGUCACUCUUUCUCUAGGGUCUAUCUCUCCAUCCACUAUGUCACCAGCUACCACUUUCUUCGCCGCCCUCCUCCGCAGGCCCCACCACCACCACCACCUCUGCCGCGGUCUCUCAACACAUUCACAACCGCCUUCCAUCGAAUACUCACUCACCCACCCAAUCUACACCAUAUGGGCCGCGAACACUUCCCUUGGCAAAACCCUGGUCUCCGCCGGGCUUUCCACUUCCUUCCUUUCUUCCUCAAACCGCAAAUUUCUCUACUUGAAGCCUGUCCAAACAGGUUUCCCAUACGACUCUGAUUCCCGCUUCGUUUACAACAAAUACUCCCAAUUUUUCUCCUUAAAUAAACCUGAAUUCUCCGUCUUCGCAUCGAAUCACGUGCUCAGAGCAUCCGUUCCGGCUUCGAAUGCCGUUGUUAAGGAUGAAAUGGGGAGAAGUUGUGGGAAUGGGGUUAUGAAUUUGGGGUUUUACGAGGAGAGUAGGUUGCGAGGGACGAGUGAGAAUGGGGAAAUGAUGAAGGGGUUUUCGAUGCUAGUUUGUAAGACAAUGUACGGGUGGAAAGAGGCAUUAUCGCCACAUUUGGUGGCGGAGAGAGAAAAUGCUAGAGUAGAAGAUGCUGAGUUGUUGGAGAUGUUGAAGGCUUGCUUAGAAAUUGAUAAACUGGAAAGUGGUGAAAAGGGUGAGGUUUUUUGUGUGAUCGAGACUGCUGGUGGCGUUGCUAGUCCUGGACCAUCUGGUUCGCUUCAAUGUGACUUGUAUCGACCUUUCCGGUUCCCAGCUAUUCUUGUCGGCGAUGGAAAGCUAGGGGGUAUUUCAGGAACUAUUUCAGCCUAUGAAAGUUUGAAACUUCGAGGUUAUGAUGUUGUUGCUGUAGUAGUUGAAGACCAUGGCCUAGCUAAUGAGGGUCCUUUAUCAUCUUACCUGCGGAGAAGGGUCCCCGUGCUUGUGCUUCCACCUAUACCGAAAGAGAUGUCAAAUAACCUAAUGGAGUGGUUUCAAGAAGCAGUGUCUACUUUUCAUUCUCUUCAAGAAAUAAUGCAGUCAGCUUUUCUGGAGAGAGCAUCUAGAUUACGCAACAUGCCAAGGAAGGCACAUGAUAUUUUCUGGUGGCCCUUUACUCAACACAAACUUGUACCAGAAGAAGAUGUUACGGUUAUAGAUUCACGAUGUGGAGAAAACUUUGCUGUGCACAAGGUUAAUAAAGUUGAUUUAAUCACCCAACAAUUUGAUGCUUGUGCAAGUUGGUGGACGCAGGGACCUGAUGCUACUUUACAGAUUGAGCUUGCAAGAGAUGUGGGUUACGCUACUGCUAGAUAUGGUCAUGUAAUGUUUCCUGAAAAUGUCUAUGAACCGGCUCUGGAAUGUGCUGAACUUUUGCUUGAAGGCGUGGGAAAAGGGUGGGCUUCAAGAGUGUACUUUUCAGAUAAUGGCUCUACUGCAAUUGAAAUUGCUCUUAAAAUGGCACUACGGAAGUUCUUGUUUGAUCACAGAGUUAUCUCUGAUGAUUUGGUGGCUGAGAGUGCUGAGAGUCGUGUGGAUCUAAAGGUUUUAGCCCUCAGAGGAUCUUACCAUGGCGACACUUUGGGUGCUAUGGAAGCACAGGCACCAUCACCUUAUACUGGAUUUUACCAGCAACCAUGGUAUAAGGGAAGAGGUCAUUUUUUAGAUCCGCCAACAGUUGCCAUGUGUGAUGGUGUCUGGAAACUUAGCCUUCCUCAGGAGAUUGAAACUCAAAAACCCAAUAUUGAAGAUUUGACUUUCAGUUUGCGUGAGAACAUAUUCAAGGAAAGUCGUGACAAUUCAAAUCUUUCUGAGAUAUAUCAUUCGUAUAUACGGCGAGCAUUACAGCUAAUUAUGGACUCAAGUGGAUCUACUCAGACUGGGGCAUUGAUUAUAGAACCAGUGGUACAAGGUGCUGGAGGAAUGGAAAUGGUCGAUCCACUAUUUCAGAGAGUACUUGUUAAAGAAUGCAGAAGUCAAAAGAUUCCUGUUAUUUUCGAUGAGGUUUUUACGGGAUUCUGGCGUCUGGGAGCAGAGUCUGCCACGGAGUUUAUCUGCUGUAAGCCAGAUAUAGCCUGCUAUGCCAAGUUGAUGACUGGUGGCAUUGUGCCCUUGGCUGUCACUUUAGCAUCAGAAGCUGUAUUUGAAGCAUUUGUUGGAGAUUCAAAGCUCCAGGCUCUCUUGCAUGGUCACUCUUACACUGCACAUGCAAUUGGUUGUACCGCAGCUGUAAAGGCAAUCAAAUGGUUUAAGGACUCCAAAACAAAUCCUAAUUUGAUAUCUGAAGCUGUGAUGCUCAGGGAGCUGUGGGAUUCAGACUUGGUGAGACAGAUUUCCUUACUUCCAGCAGUGCACAGAGUGGUUGUGUUGGGGACUCUAUGUGCAUUGGAACUUCGAGCAGAAGGCUCUAACGCGGGGUAUGCUUCACUAUAUGCCAGAUCUCUCAUUCAGAAGCUCCGUGAAGAUGGCAUCUAUAUGAGGCCUCUUGGCAAUGUCAUUUAUCUCAUGUGUGGGCCUUGCACAUCUCCUGAGAGUUGCAGCAACUUACUAAACAAGGUGUAUAGAAGACUUGAAGAGCUCUAAACCAGUGAAUCGACUUCAAGACUAGAUGAUUAGAGAAGAGGCAUUCAAAUGUACUAAUUCACAUAUCACCCUACUUCUGUGUGAAAGGAGAUCACGUUACUAUUGGACACUGCAGGCUUGUGCAAAAACUGUGAAGUUCAAUGUGUUGAAGGUGAUUCCAUCUGCGUCUGCUAGUGGAGAAAAGAAAGCAUUUUACAAGACUAAGAGCUUAGUAUCUCUAGUUUUGUAGUUAUAUUCAGAGAUUAGAAUUAUGAUGAGACUAUACUUGACACUAACCAACUCUGAACUAUAAGGAUUUCUUCAUUUCCAGCAUCGCAUAUUGAUUAACUUCAAUUAUGCAACAAAACUAAAAACUUGCGCAAUAUGUAAAGGAAAAAACAAUCAUCUACAGAUA